rnacentral:rRNA from 1 species
UACGUAGGGGACGAGCGUUGUCCGGAAUUACUGGGCGUAAAGGGCGCGCAGGCGGUAUAUCAAGUCAGCUGUCAAAGACUGGGGCUCAACCCUGGUAUGCGGUUGAAACUGAUAUGCUGGAGUGCUGUAGAGGCAAGUGGAAUUCCCAGUGUAGCGGUGAAAUGCGUAGAUAUUGGGAAGAACACCGGUGGCGAAGGCGACUUGCUGGGCAGCAACUGACGCUGAGGCGCGAAAGCCAGGGGAGCAAACGGGGAUUAGA